AACAAGCAGACAAAAACAAAACAAAACAAACAAUUAUUGGUCUACUGCAGUUUAAAUGAGACAUAUUUGGCUGGAGCAUGAGUGAUUAUAUCAGAGCUGAAGACUGCCUUUCAAUUGCAGGUCCUGCCUCAAGAUGUAGCCACCGAGUCUCAGAAAAAGAAAAAUGACCUUGAGACUUGAGACGGCAUAACCUGGUGUUGAGUCUCUG
rnacentral:lncRNA from 10 species